GCAGUGGUGGUUCCGGGGUAGAAUUCUCACCUUCCAAGUGGGAAACCCAGGGUCAAUUCCUGGCCAGCA
rnacentral:tRNA from 1 species